AACACGUGGGUAACCUACCUAUAAGACUGGGAUAACUUCGGGAAACCGGAGCUAAUACCGGAUAACAUUUGGAACCGCAUGGUUCUAAAGUGAAAGAUGGUUUUGCUAUCACUUAUAGAUGGACCCGCGCCGUAUUAGCUAGUUGGUAAGGUAACGGCUUACCAAGGCGACGAUACGUAGCCGACCUGAGAGGGUGAUCGGCCACACUGGAACUGAGACACGGUCCAGACUCCUACGGGAGGCAGCAGUAGGGAAUCUUCCGCAAUGGGCGAAAGCCUGACGGAGCAACGCCGCGUGAGUGAUGAAGGGUUUCGGCUCGUAAAACUCUGUUAUUAGGGAAGAACAAACGUGUAAGUAACUGUGCACGUCUUGACGGUACCUAAUCAGAAAGCCACGGCUAACUACGUGCCAGCAGCCGCGGUAAUACGUAGGUGGCAAGCGUUAUCCGGAAUUAUUGGGCGUAAAGCGCGCGUAGGCGGUUUCUUAAGUCUGAUGUGAAAGCCCACGGCUCAACCGUGGAGGGUCAUUGGAAACUGGGAAACUUGAGUGCAGAAGAGGAAAGUGGAAUUCCAUGUGUAGCGGUGAAAUGCGCAGAGAUAUGGAGGAACACCAGUGGCGAAGGCGACUUUCUGGUCUGUAACUGACGCUGAUGUGCGAAAGCGUGGGGAUCAAACAGGAUUAGAUACCCUGGUAGUCCACGCCGUAAACGAUGAGUGCUAAGUGUUAGGGGGUUUCCGCCCCUUAGUGCUGCAGCUAACGCAUUAAGCACUCCGCCUGGGGAGUACGACCGCAAGGUUGAAACUCAAAGGAAUUGACGGGGACCCGCACAAGCGGUGGAGCAUGUGGUUUAAUUCGAAGCAACGCGAAGAACCUUACCAAAUCUUGACAUCCUUUGAAAACUCUAGAGAUAGAGCCUUCCCCUUCGGGGGACAAAGUGACAGGUGGUGCAUGGUUGUCGUCAGCUCGUGUCGUGAGAUGUUGGGUUAAGUCCCGCAACGAGCGCAACCCUUAAGCUUAGUUGCCAUCAUUAAGUUGGGCACUCUAGGUUGACUGCCGGUGACAAACCGGAGGAAGGUGGGGAUGACGUCAAAUCAUCAUGCCCCUUAUGAUUUGGGCUACACACGUGCUACAAUGGACAAUACAAAGGGCAGCUAAACCGCGAGGUCAUGCAAAUCCCAUAAAGUUGUUCUCAGUUCGGAUUGUAGUCUGCAACUCGACUACAUGAAGCUGGAAUCGCUAGUAAUCGUAGAUCAGCAUGCUACGGUGAAUACGUUCCCGGGUCUUGUACACACCGCCCGUCACACCACGAGAGUUUGUAACACCCGAAGCCGGUGGAGUAACCAUUU
rnacentral:rRNA from 2 species